rnacentral:lncRNA from 1 species
AGAAGGCUGGAGAGUAUGAGAAGGCAGGUAUUUUCUUUCAAAAUGGUCACCUGAAUGAGAUACAAGGUUGGAUGGACAUCUUUGCUAUAGCUUGUAUACUUACUGUUAGAGUAAAACGAGAUUGAAUGAAAGUGAAUGGACCAUUAGUCCUGAUUUCUAUUGAUUCUCAAGUAUAUAUACAUCUGGAAGAGGCUAGAAGAAGAGGUGUCUAUUCGGAGGCAUCCCUCCAGAACAGGUGCCUCUUGGCAAUAGAGAUAGAAGAGACAUGACUGUUCGGGGUUGGACACCCUUUGCUAAUUAAUUUCUAACACUCCCCUUGUACAACACCAUUCCUUGAAUGUUUCAUUGUUGAAAGCUUCUUGCAUAUAGAACUUCCAUCGUGAGAAAUCUUUCAUAUAAUCUUGAGAGUUUCCCCCCAAAAACCCUAUGGGAAAAAUAUGAGUAGAAUAGAAUAGAUAUGUUGCUAAAAGUCCUUUAAACCCAGUGGAAAAAAUAAGGAGAAUGAUGCAACAUAUAAUGAUUAUUGUCUCUUGAUAACUCAUAUGAGAAAAACCUUUCAAGAAGGAGAAAACUCAUCAAUAAGUUUAGAGAACAAUUAAUAAGUCGUGAGUACUUCCUUUAAAAACCCCAAUAGGGAAAAUAGAAAGUAUGACAUAUGAUCUUCGAGAAGAUAUUGCCUCGCUAAAAACCAUUAUGAGAAACUUUGAGAGAAAACUCAUAAGGGAAAAGAGUGCAAUCGUACAUGCCAUUGAAAACUCCUUUAAAACCCAGUGGGAAAAUACAAGGAGAAAAUGAUAUGGCAUAUAAAGACACUUGUGUUUAUAUUGUAUCGUUAAAAACCUUUAUGAAACCAUUAGGGGACAAAUCAUCAAGGGAAAAAGAGUACAAUAUAUGCAAUCUGAUGAUUGUUAAUAAGUUAUAGUUUGGGAGAUUACUCCUCCUGAACUUUACAAAUAUGAAGGAUGUCUCAUAUCAAUUUCAUUGACAUGAACAUGAGAUUGAGUAUAAUCUGUUGGAUUAUAACAGUAUUUUGUUUGCAAAUUAUUUCCUCACUUUUCUAUAAUCCGUGAGGAUAAGUAAUUUCUAAGCAAUGUGAUUUAUGAUAUUGUUCUUCAUUUAACCUGUAGGUAUUGAUUAACACAAGUGGAAGUAUCUUGAUAAAUCAAGUUAUGUGAUUCUAAUGAAUCUCAAUCACAUGAUUUUGAGUGUGGUUAACCAUUCUACCGAGUUAUGCAUAUUUUGCAAUGCUUUUAGAUAAAUUAAUUAUGUCAGAAUGAUAACUGGAAAUAACCAUUAAAAUCCAUUUAGAUAACUUCCAUGUGAAGGCUAUUCAAGCAAAUUCAGUCAUUGAUAUGGCAUAGUUGGGAUCAAAUAAAGAGCCAAUAUCAUUACAUCAUAUCAUGGUCAUAUCUUCUAUUUCCUGAUGGAAAUAUUCAAGAUUUACUGUAAUCUUCAUAUAUAAGAUGAUAUUACUUAUAUCAACCAUAUACCUUCUGUUGGGGGUUGCACUCCGAAUAAAAAUAGCAAAUAUAGUGUGAGGCGUGACGUAGUUUGCAAGUAUACGAGUGCUUUGACAUUAGUGAGAUAUAGAACUUCAGGUCCUAGUAUCAUUUCUUUAUCAACCCUAGGUAUGAAUGGAUUUGUACCUUAUCGAAGGUAGUAUGACCAUACAUGUCUUAUUUCUAUGAUAUAUCCACACUAAACUUCUCGUAUAUGUUUUGGAUAUAUGUAGACUGAUACAUAUUCCUCAUAGAAUGCUCAAGUUGUAAACAUAAGCUAAAUUUGGUUAAAUCCAAAUUUUACGUCUUGAGUUGAUUUUGUGUAUGUUUAUGUCUAGUAGAGUCAUUGAUGACGAAAUCAUCGAUAUACACUGAGGUGAUAUAAGAAAUUCAAAUUUAGGAUUCCUUUGUUAACACAUAAACAAUCAUCAUUCUUUGAAUAAUCCUUCAGAAGAAGAAAAUCAUUUAGUCUGUAGUACCAUAUGAUUUGCGACUAUUUCGAGCCAUAGAGUGACUUCUGAAAUUUUACACAAAUAUAUUGCAAUUUAUUUUGGAUUUGGAAUUGUAAGCCCUUGAGGGACUUCGUUAUAAAAUUUCGAAACAAGUGACCCAUAUGAGUAUGUAGUCACUCCAUACAUUAUCUUCAUGGAUAAUAUUAUUUAUACUCCCAAUGAUAUUUAUUAUCGAAACAUAAUUUCACUCAUACAAAGAGGGUAUAUUACAUCAUAACUUGAUGUCGGGUCUCUACGUGAAACCUUUUGCUACAAGCCUCGCUUUCUCACCACUUCAUUGACUUUAUCUAUAAAUUAGAAGUUUUUGUAGUAUUCCUUAUGGGAGAUACUUAUGAGUAGUUGGUAUUACUAUGGUAAAUACCGCUCUUUGCUUAGUCAGUGUUAUUCUUCAUUACUUGCUUCCUUCUAUGUGAACCAAUAUGAGUGCAAGAGGCACUCUACCAUGGAUUUUGGUUCAGGGCCCAACAGGUUUUAUCAAUUUUGAGAAGAAUAUAUGUCGAAAAAUGUAGAGUUAUGUUAUAUGAUUCUGGAGGAAUCGAUGAAAUUUGUUGAAAUAUAUUUAUUCCUUUUUACUCCUUAUGAUUUCCUACAACAAUGGAGUCAAGGUGUUUCGAUGUCCCGACACAAAAACAUUUGUGCACAUUUAUAUCGGGCUUUGGAUGAUGAGCAUCCAGUGAGGUGUCUUUCAACUUGAUGUUGAAUUACAUUUACUGGUUAAGGAUUUGAUUCCCUCUAUUUUCGCGGAAGCAUAUGCGAGAUUAUAUCUCGUGUGGUCAUAUUUCUUCCCCUGUUGCUCUCAUUUGGGAAGAAGAGUGGUUUAUCAGGUACCUCCACUCUUUCUAACACUAUAUUGCAGGAAUAUAAAAUUGAGUGACAUCUUUGUCAUCAGUAAAUGUAUGUGGCAGAUUUGCAAUGUGUUGCAAAUAUGUGAUUCUAAACUUCUAGUUCAGAUUUUUUUAAUACGUGGAUAUAAGGACUGAAUGUCAAUAACAUCUCUAAUUUAUUUCUCGACAUUCUUUGUGGUACUUAUCUCCCCCUAAUGCCGGAAAUGUCCUUAUUGCUGAUGCAAUCAGUAUACGGGUUAUGAAUAAUUUUGAUUGACGGACAAAUUGUUAUUCCUCACAUAGAUCCAUAAUUUUCUGUGAGAGUCCAUUGAUGUAUGAUGGAGUGGUGAUAUCGGUAUGUAACUGAAUUAUCACAGAUAUAAAAUACUUUGUUGGUUUCCACGUAAUUACUACAAGGGGAAAGUAUUAUGCUAUGCACUUGGUAUGAUUUAUAUCAUACUUACUGUGUGUAAUACCGUAUUUGUCCCGGAAGAGGCUAGUAAAUUACAAUUCUAUAAGUUCGGUCAUGUUACUAAUUUCAGUAUCUUGGAUACAACCAUUUUGGGUAUGUACAUAAAGUAUUAUAUAAUAAUCAGACAUUGCUUGUGAAAUGAGUUCAACGAAGUUGUCCAUUCGAAUGGAUUUAUCCCUUGUUUAGGAUAAUUUGCUCUUACUUUGAGAAAGUGAGCAAUUAAUUUAAUUAUAUCAUUCAUGGUUUUGUGUGACAAGAGUCACACUUGAAAUCAUUUUAUAAAAUGUUUCCAUGAGUACCAUGAAGUAUCUAUAUAAUACCACAUAAUGGUUGAGUAAUCCACAUAUCUUCUGAAUGUUUUCAAGGAAGAAUGAGUGGCUCAUUUGAUUUUUAAGGUGGGACAUCGCACUACAUGUAGUAGCACAAGUAUAGGCUAAUGUUAUUUUGGGAAUACUUAGGAUAUUACAUGAGGUCACCCAUAUUAUUUGAAAAUUAAAUAUGCAAACAUAUCAUAGGCAUAAAGGAAUUGAUCAUUCUUUUAUUGCACUAUAUUUUUGGUUCUCCUUCUGAUUAAGAUUUGAGAACAUCAUUUACCAGAAUAGUUUUUGGUCGUAUGUUUGCAAAUUUUGUAAUAUUCCAAUGAACUUAUUUGCCUUUUAAUAAAUUCAUGGGGUGGUUUGACCAUAUGUUUGAGGGUUUGGUAUUCAUAUGUAUGAUAUUUAUGUAACCACACAUUUGACAAACUUAAGAGUUGUCUUUGUGAUCAUUUGGAAAUGAUCAAUUCCCAAUUAAAAGGUAAUUCUAUCAUUGGUUGUCUUUAGCCUCCACUUUACUUUGAAUUCCUCAUGGUUUUGUUCUGUGAUUGGCUUGCAUAGUAUUCUCAAUGCUAGCAAAUAUUUGAAGCCCUCGUUGGGUGAAUAUGAUGAUUUUAAGAAAUAACAUGUUUCUUUACCAUGAAAAUGGUAAUACCAUCAUAAAGUGUAUUAUGCGAUUUUUAAUCAGAUUCAAAUAUGAAAAAUAUCCGAUCAAAAAAUCUCAACUUAAAGUUGAUUUUAUAACUACCAAAAUUGUAAGUUGCGAUAGACUUGAGGCCUUGAAAAAUUAUUGGGUGAUCAUUCCAAAAGUGCUCAUGGCAGCAUGUUUCUCUUAAGGGAAAUAUUCAAGGUGAAUAGAUAUUCAUCCAUUAUGUACUCAGUUUGAGAACUAAGUGAAGUUGGUGACAGACGAAACACAUAUGAACAUACUUGGCUAUUAAGAGAAUAGCCAUGACACAUAUUGCGAAGGUGGAAUUAUAGUGGCCACAAAUGCCGCAUGUGGAUAUAAUGACUAAUGUCAUGAAUCAUCUUACAAUAAAUACUCCCACCAAAUCAUGCAUUUACUAUAUUUGGAAAUGUCAGCCAUGCAUUACUUCAAAAUGCUAAUGCAUUUAUUUAAUUUACUUCUAGGAGUAAGUGGCAUCUAUGAAUAAAUGAUUUGUUUGAGAACAAUCAUGGCCAAGGUGAUCCUUGGUGAACGUGGGUGUAUCCUUCCAUACAACACAUGUGAUGAAAUUAUUGCUAAUGUUUUGGACUUCAUUCUUUAAGAAAGUGUGUGACUUUAGAGUCACUGCCAAAACGUAUAGACUUGCAUGCUUAACAUUAGUUAGUCACUAUGAAAGUAUAACCACGAUGUGAUGUGGACCUUGCAAAAGUGUUGAGUCACUCGAUCAUUGCCAUAAAUUAUGGGGUCCAUCUUGAUGGAUGAACGACACUUUAAUUAGAAAUAGUGACGUAGGUUCCAUUGCCAUGUAUUUUACCAAUGUAAUAAAAUGUAAUCAUUGGAGUAUGCAAAUAUUUGCAUAAUUCUCUAUGAUGUAUUCAAACAAAAUUAGGCUUGAAUAAUUGAUAUUGGUAGAUAAUACCAUUCAACAUGCAAUAAUCAUGCAUGAAUUUACUAUGAUAGUAAAUCAUUUUAGUGAACAACAACAAUUGCUUCAGAGAAGAAAAUUUUAGAUUAGCUGAUGCUUUUAUAACCAUAUGUGUAGACCUCAAUUUAUAUAGGAUAACGCUUUGAGGAUAAUCACCAAUAUGGUGUAGAACUCAAAGUAAUAGAAAACAUAGUCUGACUUUUCUCAGUAGAUGUUCAUGUCUACUACCUUAUGUCAUUAGAUAUUGAUAUUACCUUAUGAUAUCUUGAGGUAGUCACAUUUAAUAUUAAUAAUUGGAAGAGCACAUCGAAGAUAGUCAUCUUGUUAAAAUAAAAAGAUGUAGACUUCACAGUAGUGGUGAAUAAUCUGCAUAUGAUGUAGUAGAUGUCACCAAUACCUUGUGAUUCACAAGUAAAAUUUGGAUUAGUCAUAUUAAGUAUGCCACUUUAUAAUUCUUAGGAUUUGCAAGGAGAUAAAAUCAAUUGCAAAAAAACGUAGUUGUUCUAAAACUGGUAUAUACAACAAAGGCGGAGGCAAUUAUGUAUAACAUGGAACAAUAGCGUCUCAAUAUGUAAUGUUCCGCAAUUUGAUGAAAUUGCAAGGUAUGAACACCUGAACAGUAGUACUAUGCUCAUAAAACAUGUAGAAUUAAUGUUUUAGUUUAUGAUGCACAAUAUGACAAGACCAAAGGGUCUGAGUCACAUGAUUACAAUUAGCCCGAGGGCUUCUAUGCAACCAGUACUAAGCCUGAUGGGUAUACUUGUCACAAGAGAAAAUUAGAAAUGCUAAAGUGUUAAAUGGCCGAAGAGAUAAGGUUCUCCGGUGAUUCUCGUUACGACCAAGAAUCCAUUGAUUCAAUUAGCUUUGGCUGUACAAGGUCAUAGCAAAUCGCCUCGUGAGGAAUUAGGAGGGAAGACGGCGUCGCAGAUCGAAGGUCGUCUGCACCCGAGGAGCAUCUCCCAUUCGUGGGCAGAUGUUGGCCGCCGCCGGCCGCCAUGUCGUCACGCUGAAUCAAGAGAAGUGGCAUCACAGCCGAAGGCCGCCGUGCUCGGGGAAGAAGCCACGGGGCCAAGGGCCUCCGCACGCUCCGUGAUGGGCCCCGUCAUCCCUAGGUUGGAUACACCUCUGCGUUGGGGCCGAAGGCCGUGGCAACACCAUGAGCGUCGCUUGUGUCAUCGGCCAGCGGGUCGCGUCCGAGGGAGAACCACGCACCGCGCCAUGGUCGUGCUCCGCCUGUGGGAGGAGCAUCGCGUCAGAUGCUUCAUCCGAGAGGUGGAGGACGCCGUCAUCGCGAAACGCCGAGGUACGCUCGCUGGGUCUUCUUCCCUUAUUUUUCCCUGGACGUUUUGUUGCUGAUAAUUGCGAUGGCGACUAGAUCGUCAUAGUGGACGUUGAAGAAGGGAACAAAAAUGCGAAGAAUAUUUUUCUUGUUCCUCAUCUUCUAGUCUUGUUCUUGAUGUUGAUUCUUCUUUUCUUCUUGAUUGAGGCUUUCUUGAGUAUCGAGUAAUCCAUCUCACCAUGAGGAUACGCCGGGUGAAGCGAUUUGCAAAACAAAACAAUUAUUAGUUCUUUGAUUGAUUGCAACAAGACAAAGCAAAUUGAAGAAUCUCCUAAUUUAGUUUUCCUCUUUUUAGAGAGGCAUCUCCAUUGAUUCCUGCCAUGGAAGAGAGACUAGUCGAAUCGGCAGCGCCGUAGCGGCAGAUAUGCUCCUCUUCUGGUGUGGCCUUUUCUCAACGGGGAGCAAAAGUGCGUGAUAAUGUGUUAGAGUAAAACGAGAUUGAAUGAAAUAAAAUGGAUCAUUAGUCCUGAUUUCUAUUGAUUCUUAAGUAUACAUACAUAUCGAAGAGGUGGGAAGAAGAGGUGUCUGUUGGUAAUAUAGAGAAGAGACAUGACUGUUCGGGGUUGGACACCCUUUUGCUAAUUUGGGGUUGGACGCCCUUUGCUAAAUUAAUUUCAUAACUUCAGAAAGUUUUCGGAUUUCCAAUUUUUUUUUAUUAAAUAUAUCUAUUUUUUUCUAUUUUUCCAAUCAAAUAAAUAUUCACGGUUCCAAGUUUCUCCAGAAUUUCAAUAAAUGUUAUUAUUUUUAGGAAUUUGUUCAAAAAGUAAAAAUCUUAAACUGUUAAUGGUUUCAAAAUAUUUUUCCAUAUUUUAAUUUAUGUUCACAAAUUCAACACAUGUGCAUGAUUUUCAAGAAAUGUUCUUACUUUUUUCUAAAUUUGUUCCCAAAUCCAAAAAAUGUUGGCACUUUUACAUAUAUAUUCGGAAUUUCGAAACAUAUACACAUCUAUUUUUCAGAACUGUAUUUUUUUUUGCUACAAUAGCUUAUUCGAGUUCACUGCUGUAGGCUGCGGUUUUGAAGAUGCAGUUGAUUAUUUUAAGAUCUGUGAUGCCCUUCGAGAUGUUAGGAACACGCAAUCGACAACCGGCUUAUUGCGAGUUCGAGUCCUCAUCAGGAUGCUACCUUUUUUUGCGAUUUUUUGGCCGCAUUCAGUGGGCCGUGUCCAGUCGAUGCCGCCGCUGGACAUCGUGCGCUUACCUUAAGCCGUUGUUCAUAGAUCUCACUCGGAGCACCGUCGUCAAGCGUCGGAUCAAACCCGAUCCUGCAAGUGUAAGGACUGUCGUAGCACUGCCAGAUGAGGGCCACACGGCCCAUGCCUCGACGUUGCCCACCAUCGGCAACCACCACAAUCGCCGCCCAGAGGAUGCCAGACUAUCCGACUACGCCACCGCAACCCAGCCAUCGCGGUCAUGUCGAAUCUCAUCGACCAGUCCCUGUCAUCACCAUGCAUCGCUACAUGCCAUUUCUUCGUGGCCACGGAUGCGAGCGUGUCAAGCCCUGAUACCACCUUUCCUAGCAUCAUGGCGGCUUCGCGAUGACCCCUCCAAGGACAGUGGCACAAGAAAGAGAGGAAGGGGAAGACUAGAGGGACAAAGACCAGAUUUCCCCCACUCCCCCUCGUAUCCGAGGCGCGGCGACGCGAAGUUCAAAAUCGUUAUGUAAUAAGUAGCAGCCGUCGUGACUUGUGAGUGAUGCCCUUGUGACAACGUAAAGAUUUAAUGGCNCAUACAUACAUACAUACACAUACUCCUAUGCAUAGAAGAGAGAACGCACACAUGGUGCGUGUGGUUGGAUACUAACCUAACAUUGGUCGUGCAUGUGAUGGUCUUGACAAUGUAAAGAUCGACAACAACUAUUUAUGUUUGAGAUAAAUACACGAAUGGUCAUUGUUUUUUAGUCGAAAGUUUACUAUGAUUUAGGACCGAGCCUACAGUGGUUCUAAAAGUGCGGCCGGGCCCCAUAUUCCAAGGGCCCCAGUUUUUUACAUAGGCCUAGUACUAAUAAAAACAAACCGUGUUACUCGGCCUCCUCCAUGCUGGCGCUGGAGUUGGACUAGAGGAGGUGAGCAGUGGCAGCCAACUAUCGAGUGGCCAUGCAGCAGGUAGUACUAGCCCCCCUCUAUUUCCUCAACGUGAAAUUUGGAAAAGGGAAAAAAGGCCUAUGUGAAGCCCACUAGUGGCCAGACUGGGGCUAACCUCCUCGCCUGUGCGUUGUCUCAUCCCGUAAUUAGCUAGUACGCUGGAUUAGUGAUUAGUCGCCGCCGUUGUGUGCCCUUGCCACCAUUGUGUGGGAUUAGUGAUAAGUAUAAUUUCAAAAAAAUCUAUAAGAUAUAUAUACAUUAUAAAAACAUUUUGGUUUAUUUUUUUGUGACAUAGGGUCCCGUUUGUAUUUUCGCACAGGGCCUCGGAUUUGGCCGGCCCGGUCCUGCUAUGAUUACUGUACUUUGAAAUAUGCUUAUUAUGAUCAUUAUAUACGUGCUGACGUAAUUAUACGAUCACUGGCUCGCCGUAUAACAUUCCUGCGACACCAGAUGCAUUCCUGCGACGUGGCGCCGAAUAACGCGACAUACAGUACGCUGAUCAAUGUGUAUGAGGGUGGCANNNNNNNNNNNNNNNNNNNNNNNNNNNNNNNNNNNNNNNNNNNNNNNNNNNNNNNNNNNNNNNNNNNNNNNNNNNNNNNNNNNNNNNNNNNNNNNNNNNNNNNNNNNNNNNNNNNNNNNNNNNNNNNNNNNNNNNNNNNNNNNNNNNNNNNNNNNNNNNNNNNNNNNNNNNNNNNNNNNNNNNNNNNNNNNNNNNNNNNNNNNNNNNNNNNNNNNNNNNNNNNNNNNNNNNNNNNNNNNNNNNNNNNNNNNNNNNNNNNNNNNNNNNNNNNNNNNNNNNNNNNNNNNNNNNNNNNNNNNNNNNNNNNNNNNNNNNNNNNNNNNNNNNNNNUGGACAUCUUUGCUAUAGUUUGUAUACUUACCAUACCUUGAAUGAUAGUUAUGAAAAUAUGCGCGUGACUUCGUCGGAGGGGAAAUGAGGUGCAGAGGCAGGGGCAACAAGACAUGGGUGACGCCGGCGUCGGCUAUGUCACCAACCUGGGCGUGCGUCGUCUCCAGCCACCUCGCACCGCGCCUUCACUAGAUCCACUCUUGUUGGGCGCCGUCGGCCCGCCCUCUUCUCCGCAUGCUGGGAGGNNNNN